rnacentral:lncRNA from 1 species
GUCUCUGGUCUUUGUAUGCGCCACCACCAGCAACGCAACCAACGCGAACUAAGUAUCCCUUCUAUCUCUAAUAGUUUUAUGACAUGAUUCUGAACCGGAAGUUAAGAACCAGAGAGCAGUGCUUGUAGAAGAAAAUGAAGGGCCACGACAUGAGAGGUCUUUUUCGGGAAUUGGAGUGAUAUGCCAUUCAUUAAGAUGCCCUAUUUUUUUGAGAUCUUGCUGAUGGUUAUUACCCAGGAUUCUGUGGAACAACUAGCGGAGAAGAUUGGAGACUGAAAGCUUAACAGGUACAGAGUAAAAAAGUUUCUUCGUGUUAUUAUCUUAUGUUGUAUUCUUCAAGCGCUUGUGAACAAGAAAGCAAAUGACCUUAUAAAUGGGAUUAUGCACACAAGAGAGAUUACGGAUAAUGAUAUAUAGAUUUUGUUGAAGACGUUGAUGUUGAUUUUUUUUUCAAGAGUUAGGUAUUCCAUUAGAGUAGCUUUAUUAAUAAAUUUUGGAAUUGUAUGUAGUUUAUUUAUGAAAUUUAAUAUAGUUUGUUAUACAUUUAGCAAAGAAUUGUAAUUUGACCGGUUAUUCCAAAUUGAAUGUGUAUUCAUUGAUUUGAAA